rnacentral:misc_RNA from 1 species
GAUGAAGAACGUAGCGAAAUGCGAUAAGUAAUGUGAAUUGCAGAAUUCAGUGAAUCAUCGAAUCUUUGAACGCACAUUGCGCCCCCUGGUAUUCCGGGGGGCAUGCCUGUCCGAGCGUCAUUACAACCCUCAAGCUCAGCUUGGUAUUGGGCCCCGCCGACCCGGCGGGCCCUAAAGUCAGUGGCGGUGCCGUCCGGCUCCGAGCGUAGUAAUUCUUCUCGCUCUGGAGGUCCGGUCGUGUGCUCGCCAGCAACCCCCAAUUUUUUUCAGGUUGACCUCGGAUCAGCUAGGGAUACCCGCUGAACUUAAGCAUAUCAAUAAGCGGAGGA